UUAGUGGCGGACGGGUGAGUAACGCGUGGGUAACCUGCCCUAUACUGGGGGAUAACAGCUAGAAAUGGCUGCUAAUACCGCAUGAGCGCACAGUCCCGCAUGGGACAGUGCGGAAAACUCCGGUGGUAUAGGAUGGACCCGCGUCCGAUCAGCUGGUUGGUGGGGUAACGGCCCACCAAGGCGACGAUCGGUAGCCGACCUGAGAGGGUGACCGGCCACAUUGGGACUGAGACACGGCCCAAACUCCUACGGGAGGCAGCAG
rnacentral:rRNA from 1 species